UACGUAGGGAGCAAGCGUUGUCCGGAAUCAUUGGGCGUAAAGCGCGCGUAGGUGGCCUCAUAAGUCCGCUGUGAAAGUCAAAGGCUCAACCUUUGAAAGCCGGUGGAUACUGUGGGGCUAGAGUACGGAAGAGGCGAGUGGAAUUCCCGGUGUAGCGGUGGAAUGCGCAGAUAUCAGGAGGAACACCAAUAGCGAAGGCAGCUCGCUGGGACGUUACUGACACUGAGGCGCGAAAGCGUGGGGAGCGAACAGG
rnacentral:rRNA from 1 species